rnacentral:rRNA from 1 species
AGUGAACGCUGGCGGCGUGCCUAACACAUGCAAGUCGAACGAUGAUGGAGGAGCUUGCUCUUCCUGAUUAGUGGCGCACGGGUGAGUAAUGCAUAGAUAAUGUGCCCCUUAGUUCGGGAUAGCCACUGGAAACGGUGAUUAAUACCGGAUACUCCUUCUUAUCAUAAGAUAAGUCGGGAAAGUUUUUCGCUAAGGGAUCAGUCUAUGUUCCAUCAGUUAGUUGGUGAGGUAACGGCUCACCAAGACAAUGACGGAUAUCUGGUUUGAGAGGAUGAUCAGACAAACUGGAACUUGGACACGGUCCAGAAUCCUACGGGGGGCAACAGUUAAGAAUAUUGCACAAUGGAGGAAACUCUGAUGCAGCAACGCCGCGUGGAGGAUGACGCAUUUCGGUGUGUAAACUCCUUUUAUUAGGGAAGAUUAUGACGGUACCUAAUGAAUAAGCACCGGCUAACUCCGUGCCAGCCGCCGCCGUAACAC